rnacentral:rRNA from 1 species
CGCAUCUGUGCAUGCAGCAUAUCAAUAAGCGGAGGAAAAGAAACUAACAAGGAUUCCCCUAGUAACGGCGAGUGAAGCGGGAAGAGCUCAAAUUUGAAAUCUUAAAGGGUUUCCCUUUACGAAUUGUAGUUUAAAGAAGUGUUUUCUGUUGAGGUUUUGGUAAAAGUUCUUUGGAAUAGGACAUCAUAGAGGGUGAGAAUCCCGUAUUUGACCUUUACUUUCAACGUUGUGAUACACUUUCAAAGAGUCGGAUUGUUUGGGAAUGCAGUCCAAAAUGGGUGGUAAAUUUCAUCUAAAGCUAAAUAUUGGCGAGAGACCGAUAGCGAACAAGUACCGUGAGGGAAAGAUGAAAAGAACUUUGAAAAGAGAGUUAAACAGUACGUGAAAUUGUCAAAAGGGAAGCGUUUGACACCAGUGUUGUUUUUCUGAAAAUCAAUUAAAGAACUGUUUAUGCUAAGUUGUUUAGACUUUAUCAGCUAACUGUUUAGUUUUGAGCUUUUCUUUAAUGCACUUUUCAGUUAACAAGUCAACAUCAAUUUCUAUUGCUGUAAAAAAGCUUGAGGAAGGUGGCUUGAGAUUCGUCUUAAGUGUUUAUAGCCUCUUGCCUAUGCAGUCGGAGAGAUUGAGGUCUGCAGCGUAGAUCCUUCGGGGCUAAAUGCAUUUGUGCUAAGUUAUAACAUUUUAUAGACAACUUGUUGACUAUGAUUUGUCUUGUAGCUUACUCGCUUAUGUUAUUUUACCUACGCUUAGGAUGUUGAACGCGCACAGAGUCUC